AGGUAUGAGAAAUCAGGACAUGUGAUUGGUAGUGAAUACGUGUUGCAUGCUUAUGGUCUUAUCUAUGUUCUUUCUGCAGAGGUGGUAGCAUCACUGGCAAUUGCUAGAAAUAACAGAUUGAUAAUGUUGGCAUGGAUACAGUGAUGUUUUUGGGCCAGAUUGAUGAUGUUUGCAUGGGCGCAAUUUACAUUAUAUUUUUUGUUUAUG